rnacentral:rRNA from 1 species
UGCAAGUCGAGCGGGGUGAUGGUGCUUGCACUAUCACCUAGCGGCGGACGGGUGAGUAAUGCUUAGGAAUCUGCCUAUUAGUGGGGGACAACAUUUCGAAAGGAAUGCUAAUACCGCAUACGUCCUACGGGAGAAAGCAGGGGAUCUUCGGACCUUGCGCUAAUAGAUGAGCCUAAGUCGGAUUAGCUAGUUGGUGGGGUAAAGGCCUACCAAGGCGACGAUCUGUAGCGGGUCUGAGAGGAUGAUCCGCCACACUGGGACUGAGACACGGCCCAGACUCCUACGGGAGGCAGCAGUGGGGAAUAUUGGACAAUGGGCGCAAGCCUGAUCCAGCCAUGCCGCGUGUGUGAAGAAGGCCUUAUGGUUGUAAAGCACUUUAAGCGAGGAGGAGGCUACUUUAGAUAAUACCUAGAGAUAGUGGACGUUACUCGCAGAAUAAGCACCGGCUAACUCUGUGCCAGCAGCCGCGGUAAUACAGAGGGUGCAAGCGUUAAUCGGAUUUACUGGGCGUAAAGCGCGCGUAGGCGGCUAAUUAAGUCAAAUGUGAAAUCCCCGAGCUUAACUUGGGAAUUGCAUUCGAUACUGGUUAGCUAGAGUGUGGGAGAGGAUGGUAGAAUUCCAGGUGUAGCGGUGAAAUGCGUAGAGAUCUGGAGGAAUACCGAUGGCGAAGGCAGCCAUCUGGCCUAACACUNACGCUGAGGUNCGA